CUCUCUGGGGUCUGAGGUGAUUUUGGGGCCCUUGAGAUGUUUUGACAUGUCCUGGCAUUUGUGCUUAUUUCAGCUACUUAUAACAUACUAUUGACUAAGUUUAGUA